ACGAUGGUGGAGGAGCUUGCUCCUCCGGAUUAGUGGCGAACGGGUGAGUAAUACGUGAGCAAUGUGCCCUUGACUCUGGGAUAAGCGCUGGAAACGGCGUCUAAUACCGGAUACGACCACCGGAGGCAUCUCCUGGUGGUGGACCAAGAGACAUUCUGAGAUCAAGGGAUCAGCUAGCACGGUCCUGGCAUCACGCUAGUUGGUGAGGUAAUGGCUCACCGAGGCGACGACGGGUAGCCGGCCUGAGAGGGUGACCGGCCACACUGGGACUGAGACACGGCCCAAACUCUCUACGGGAGGCAGCAGUGGGGAAUAUUGCACAAUGGGCGCAAGCCUGAUGCACCAACGCCGCGUGAGGGACGAAGGCCUUCGGGUUGUAAACCUCUUUUACCAGGGAAGAAGCGAAAGUGACGGUACCUGCAGAAAAAGCACCGGCUAACUACGUGCCAUCAGCCGCGGUAAUACGUAGGGUGCAAGCGUUGUCCGGAAUUAUUGGGCGUAAAGAGCUCGUAGGCGGUUUGUCACGUCUGCUGUGAAAACCCGAGGCUCAACCUCGGGCUUUGCAGUGGGUACGGGCAGACUAGAGUGCGGUAGGGGAGAUUGGAAUUCCUGGUGUAGCGGUGGAAUGCGCAGAUAUCAGGAGGAACACCGAUGGCGAAGGCAGAUCUCUGGGCCGUAACUGACGCUGAGGAGCGAAAGCAUGGGGAGCAAACAGGCUUAGAUACCCUGGUAGUCCAUGCCGUAAACGUUGGGAACUAGAUGUGGGGACCAUUCCACGGUCUCCGUGUCGUAGCUAACGCAUUAACGUUCCCCGCCUGGGGAGUACGGCCGCAAGGCUAAAACUCAAAGGAAUUGACGGGGGCCCGCACAAGCGGCGGAGCAUGCGGAUUAAUUAGAUGCAACGCGAAGAACCUUACCAAGGCUUGACAUAUACGAGAACGCACUGGAGACAGUGAACUCUUUGGACACUCGUAUACAGGUGGUGCAUGGUUGUUGUCAGCUCGUGUCGUGAGAUGUUGGGUUAAGUCCCGCAACGAGCGCAACCCUCGUCUUAUGUUGCCAGCACGUAAUGGUGGGAACUCAUGGGAUACUGCCGGGGUCAACUCGGAGGAAGGUGGGGAUGAGGUCAAAUCAUCAUGCCCCUUAUGUCUUGGGCUUCACGCAUGCUCCAAUGGCCGGUACAAUGGGCUGCGAUACCGCAAGGUGGAGCGAAUCCCAAAAACCCGGUCUCAGUUCGGAUUGAGGUCUGCAACUCGACCUCAGGAAGUCGGAGUCGUUAGUAAUCGCAGAUCAGCAACGCUGCGGUGAAUACGUUCCCGGGCCUUGUACACCCCGCCCGUCAAGUCAUGAAAGUCGGUAACACCCGAAGCCAGUGGCCUAACC
rnacentral:rRNA from 1 species